UCUUCAAAUUGUUUUACCACUAUGUAAUAUCAACUGUUAGUGUCUCGAGUUUGUUGUUUAGAAAACAUUGCUAGAGCUAUCAAUCUUUCUUACAGAAUGCCUACUAUGAGCCAUCCUCCCUGGGGUUAUUCCUAUAUCUACCUGAAGGUCAUGGCACCCAUACUGUGUACACAAAGGACAUGAAGGUCAUUUUCAGCACAGGAUGACUCCGCACCAUCACAGUCAAUAUGUGUGCAUGUGAACCAGAAACCUGCACAUUGCUAAGGUAUGGGCUCUGGCCAGCAACAGCCGACAAGCCCCAGACAGUAAGUCAGUUUGCAGAUGUCAGUUUGAAGUCUUGUCUGUGAAGUGAACAUUUCAGUUACUAUUAUGGAACACUGACCAUAUAGAUGUGAAAAAUACACCUUCUUUCUUGAUUUUACUACAUUAAUUAUCACAAUUAAAAGUAAACAUUUAUGGAACCAUCUAGGAUUGUACAGUUGCAUGCAAAAGUAUUCUUGAUAUUUUUCUAUAAAAUAACAACUUCUGAGUGAACCACCAUCAUCACCACAUGUUAGCAUACAAAAUAGUAAUGUUUUCACUGAUUGCUGCUUAUACCAUAGGUUAACACACUCUACAGAGCCCUGGUAGGGGAAUCCAUAUCCCAUUUUAGGCAUCACCACGUCCGACAAAGAAAUUCUUGAUAUUUUUGCCCACAAUUAGAUGAUGGGACCAUAUGCCCAGCAUGUCCAAAGAUGGAGAUAUGAUUGUGACAUUGGAUGCCAACUUUGGCCUUGUGAGGAAGCAAAGCUCAGGGACAAGUGCGGUUGAGCCUUUACAUGGAACCCGCAUGUUUUUUGAUGAAAAGGAUGUAGAGGAAUACCUGCUAUCACAUCUUGACAGCUCAAAGCCUCACAAGGUUAGUCAUAGAUUUAGUCCAUGAAAUAUUUACUUUACUUGUGAAAUCAUUAUUCCUCCCAUAAAUCUAUGUUUUCCUUAAAUCUUUAGGACUGCAGUAACUUCAAGGCUGGCAACGUGCUGAGGUCACAAAAACAAGCAAAGAAACUUGAUGUUACAGUGUGUUUGGAGCCCCUUGUCAUCAUGAAAUGCCCCUAAUGUUUGUCAACAUGAGCCAAGGAGAACGGCAAGUCUAUGCCACAGUAGUGACAUCUCUGACUAAUGACCCAGUGUUCCAGAAUGAUAAUUCCCCGUUUGAUUCUGCCUAUUCAUAAAAUGCUUAGAAUAGCAUGACCAAAUUUUUUUCAGUCACCAAAUAUGAACCUCAUGGAAUGUAUAUGGGAGAUUCCAAAAUAU
ensembl:lncRNA